AUGCACGCUGGCGGCGUGCCUAAUCCAUGCAAGUCGAGCGAACGGACGAGAAGCUUGCUUCUCUGAUGUUAGCGGCGGACGGGUGAGUAACACGUGGAUAACCUACCUAUAAGACUGGGAUAACUUCGGGAAACCGUAGCUAAUACCGGAUAAUAUUUUGAACCGCAUGGUUCCAAAGUGAAAGACGGUCUUGCUGUCACUUAUAGAUGGAUCCGCGCUGCAUUAGCUAGUUGGUAAGGUAACGGCUUACCAAGGCAACGAUGCAUAGCCGACCUGAGAGGGUGAUCGGCCACACUGGAACUGAGACACGGUCCAGACUCCUACGGGAGGCAGCAGUAGGGAAUCUUCCGCAAUGGGCGAAAGCCUGACGGAGCAACGCCGCGUGAGUGAUGAAGGUCUUCGGAUCGUAAAACUCUGUUAUUAGGGAAGAACAUAUGUGUAAGUAACUGUGCACAUCUUGACGGUACCUAAUCAGAAAGCCACGGCUAACUACGUG
rnacentral:rRNA from 1 species